ACUGCCAGACAGAAAGGAAGAUGAUUAAAAACCAGCUAGAAUUCAGCCCUCACGAUUUUCUAAGUUGCCAUGAAAGCAUCAAGAAAGUAAGAAAAAGAAGUAAAACAAACUUCGGGGCUUUCCUUAAAAGUCUUCUACUUUUUUUAAAUGAAGGUACUAUAUCUUGAUGGAUUGAUACUGGUACGUUCACUAAAGCUGUGAAAAACUAACUUAGGACUAUUCCACUGUCGCAGAAAAAUACUUCAAGUCUGCCUUAAGUUUAAGGUUUCAGUAGAAAGAAUUCAAAGGAAGAAAAAGAUAAAUGGAUACCUCUGACUCCAUCACUAGGAAUUACCAGUGAGUAUAACUGUUCUAGACUGUGGACAAAAAUUAGAACAAGAGAAAAUUUGCUGAGCAGACACUGAGCAACAGAAAUACAAGAGCAUAUGGAUGCCUGUAGAUCCACAGAGAACUUAAGAAUCUCUUCCACGAACAUUACCAGCAAUGAUGGUUUAGUGAAAAUUUCAUAUCAAGACUGUGACGACUGAGGAACGUCUUACUGUCCAAGGGGACCUCAAUGUUCGAUGGGUGAGGAAUUGGUUCACAUAUCAACACCAAGCACGUCAUGGGAGGCUUCUUGUAGCCACAGUGAGUUUGAUUAUUGCAUGUGUCAUAUACACGUAUGUGUCCAGUGCAGUGCAGUACCUGUGGGACAGUUAGACUUAAGAAGAGACCAGACUGCUUUCUGUCAGCCAACACAGAUGCACUUCCAUUGAUGCACACAGAGUUAAGUGCUUCCCUCCCCACCUCUCUAGGCUCAGCGUUAUCAACAGCAGGAACACAAGAGUGCAUUUAAACUGAUUGUUAAAAUACAGACAGUUCUCGUCAUCUUACAUAGGCUGUUAGUACACUCUGCCAGCUCCUUCCUCUCAUGUCUGCAGAAGCAAUGCCAGAAGUUUCUGCAUUCCUGUCAAUGUCUUUGACAGCUAAACUCAUUACACUGGUAAGCAAUUGGCAUCCUACUAUGUCAACCUGAGAGUUACGCUAAUAGUAUCAGCCUCCCUUUUAGAUCUGCAGAAGUGAUGUUAGAAGACAAAAUCAAGUGCAUUCUUCAAACGAUGAGAAGGUUUGCAUUUUCUCAUUUUCCCCUUUUAAAAACAGAAAUCUGAACUAGAAAUAGUUCACGUACAGCAAAGAAGUUGUUCUUUGAUCAACAGUAACUAAGCUUAAGUUAAAAAGGAUAUUUUUAACUGUAAUGCCACUUUAUACAGUAAAAGGCUGCCUAAAGGAAGACAUGAAAAUGCAUCCAUCUCAGACACUUAUCAGACAGGGCUCUUUUAGUCCCAGCUAUUACAAAAGGGAUAGCCAGCAACUUCAGAAAGAACAACACAGGAGUCUUUCAGAGGAACCUCAACUGUUGGAUUUGCAAAGCUGAAUCAAAAGGAAUGGAGUAUCAGUAUAAAUGGCGUCAGGUAUUUUUCCCUCAGAGGAGGCGGCUUUAUGCAAGCAUUUAGUAAUUAUAAUUUCUAACAAAUGAAUAACCUCUAAUUUAAAAGGGAGAAUUACAGAGUUUUGAAAAACUAAUUUUAAACAUUGUUUCAGUUACCUCCCUGAUGCAUUCUGCAUUAAAAUUCAGCAUAUUGAAGCACAAUCAUUAAAUGAAAUACUUACUGAAACCCAACCUCAAGUUACACGAAGUGAAAAGUGUUGAAAUACAGUAAGUUAUAACACAUCUGAAGAGGAAGCUGCCAACCCAUGCAUGUAGUCCUUUACAUUCAUUACCUUCCAUGUAGCAGACUUGAUAUUCACUGUUCUUCCCCUGCUGGUCAAUGUACACUUCAUUCUGAGAAAGAAGCUGCGCUCUGUGUUCUGCUCUUUGCCCUUUUUCACAGGACCUAGUAAAAGGAAAGAGUAACCAGUUCUUGAGCUCAUGGAUCAUCCUGUGAGUGUAUUAAAACAAAACCACAACUCAACUACCCGUGUCAUAGAACUAAGGGAAUAUAAAGACUAGGAGCACUUAUAAUUAAUAAAGCUUUUCAGAAGGAGUUUUGCUGUGAAAUAAGGGAGAAAACAAGUGUCAAUGUUUUAAGAUCAUUAUUAUAUUUGUCAUCAACUUGACAAUCCCAGAUUUGAGGAGAAAAAUGACUGGCAGAAAAAUGGAAUAUAUUUUAAAACUGUGACAGGAUUCAAGGAAAGCACAGACAGGAUGAGACCUGUCUGUGUCUCAGGCACCUCGGGCUGGUUUGCAUUAAAUCAGAACUGAUGGAUGCUUAGGGCCUGUAUCUCUUCAGGACUACAGCAUUUUAAGUUUUUUAAUUGUGAAUUAAUAGCUCGGCUGUUUAAACACAUCUGAGUAUUCCCAUAGUGAUUUGCAUUCUCAGAGUAAGCAGGCACCAGGUUCUUAAACAUGCUAUUAGCAUUCCUGAAAGAAGUGAAGAAAUUCAGAUACAAAUCCAUAUUAGCAGUACUAACUUUUUAGUCUUGCUUGCUAACAGCAGGCUCUAGAUUAUCUCUUUUUGUUUUUACAGAGUAGAACCCUCCAAAGUCAAUUACUAGGUCAGCUAUUCACAAACCCAACAGCCUAAUUUGGGCACAGAAAACAUACUGAUCCUAUCAGGAAUGCUGCAAGCAGCUCAGUGUGUGCAGACAAAGGCAAUAAAGCACCUACGACAAGAAGGGACGCUUAGAGUGGGGACCGUAUUAAAAUACAGCAUGGAAGUUCAGAACACGUGAGCUUGCUUGUGAUCUGAGCUUCUAUAAUGGUUUGACUGUCCCACACAGACAGCAGUUGCAAUGAAAUCAGUUUUGGUACACUACAGAUAACAGCCACUACACUGCUUUGUCUAUUGCUUGCAGGUGCAAAAACUAAUGGGGACAAGCCUACAUCCUCAAAAGAAGGGGAAGAAAAAUAACGUGGAGUUCAAAGAAAUAACCGUAGCUUACUUUGUGGUGUGUUUCUAAAGAGCUAAACCAAUCUAGAUACUCAUAGCUGAAGAUCUAAACGUCAUUGCUAUUAAAUGCUGAUGUUUAAGGCUCUGCUUUGAGAAGCAGCUAUAAAAGGCGGAGGAAUUUUCUCCGGUUUCGUUUAGCACUGGACAUUAUACUUAUAACAGCCAGCUUGGAAAGUUAAAAUGCAGCCUCCCAGAAAACAAGAAUGUAGUUCAGUUUCUACGGAUCAGAGCUGUAUUCAUUUGCACCUGCACAGUCCCCAAGAGGAUUAUUUAAUACCUGAAUCAUAAUAAUUCCACUGAUGUAAGAGGUACAGUAGAAUGCAACUGGGGAUACUAAUAAAUAUAAAAAUGUAUUAGUAGUGCAAUGUAGACUUUUGUCUGCUAGCUUCAUUUGCAAAACAGACUUUGUAAUAAUGCUUUCCAGACACUGUAUUCCAGUCUGGUCAAUUUAGACGUGCUACAGUUCAUCUGCAUGAAACUCACGAUGUUUAAGAAUGUGCUUUUGCACCAGACCAGCUUUUACACAGCUUUAGGGUAAUAAUGUGUCCCUCCAGAUGCAUUAUUUUAUUACAUAUGCAAGGAGGAUGUCUGAUGCAGCCUUACAACUAUGCUUCAGUGUUAGGAGCAGAGAAGUUUAGAGAACGCUUACAAAGUCAAAGCCAGGGCCCUUAACACAGUGAUACCACAUCUAGUCACUUCUGCUAAACUAGACAGAAUUACAGUGAUACAGGAAAAUAGAGGUCAGUCCUAACGAUGUGGUAAUUAUUUGCUAUCUAGAUUUGAUGUUCACUUAACCCUCUUGUUUGAUGAAACAGGAAUUAGAGAGGUCCAAUUUUAGUUUUAUUACGAGCAAGUAAAGAAGAUUUGUUUGGAGGCGUGCAUGUUGCCAAGUCUUUAUAGUUGUUAACAAACCUUCAGAAGAUUUAAAGGCAGUAAUUCACGGGCAUUUGUUAAAUCCCAAAGUGUACAGCAUAUGUGAAUACAGUGUUCUAUUCCCUUACAUGGAGAAAUAAAAAGUCUGAAAUCUGAAAAGAUACCAAUUUCAUGCACCAAUUAAAAGGUGCAGUGAAGCAUAAAUCCCAAAGCCCAGAAUUAACAGUUGCUUUACGGGGCUUUCCAAGUGUUCUUUUUCUAUUCUUAUCCAAGAAAAGAGCACUCGAUAACUGUAAGACCACUACCCAAUUAGUUUUUUCUGUGUCCCCAUCAUCUCUACAUACUAAAUCUUGCACCACAAGUUUCUGAAAGAAACCAUUUGCUUUUCAGUCAUCCUGUACGGGCUUAUCUGAGACCAGGACAGACAUACCAACUCAAUGUCUCUGCACUUUUCUAUAGCAAUCAUUCCAAAUAAUUCUCACCCAACUUACAUCUAAACUCAUUUCAUUCCUGUACACACGCUAAUUCUUUCAACCCAAUUCUUUCAGUCAUUAAUUUCAUUCUAGAUUAAAGAGUGCUAAGGAAGUCUCGUGUCCCCUACAAUUAGGAGAUUUCCAAAAAGUUCUGGCUGUAUCUGUUAGUAUCUCUGGGAGACUAACAUUGUGGUCCGAGCAGAAAAACAUACCAAUCUGUUCUCUUUAUGCCUAUAUCUGGCAGAUAUCCAACUAUACCAGCGCCAAGAUGAACUAUCCAUAAGUAAAUUAAAGAGAUUGUUUUUUCUUCUCACCAUUUCUGUGUGUUAGCAUUUCUCUCAGCUCUUCGUGGUCACAUGGAUGAGUGAAAUCAAAUACACUGUGCCCUGUCAAAUCGAACUGCAAAAUAAGAGGUAUACAGGUGUCUAACUUAACAUAUACACAAAGGUAACAACUUUUACAGAAGUGAAACAGUCUUAGGAAAUGUCAAUAUUUCACCUGAGUGAGUCCCAUACACUUGUUCACGUUUUCAGACAUGUAAAUCAUGUCCCCAUCCUCAGAAAGCACCAUAACAAAUCCAUCAAGAGCUUUUAAGUAGAAACAGUUCAGUUCCUUCUCCAUUUUGGCUUCUGUCUCCAGCUCACCUACAAGAGACAUUUUUAUUCCAGUAAAUAUCAGUCAUUCUUAUCUUCAGAAAUCCAGUCUGCAAGGAGCCAAUCUUGCAGAAAUGUACAGAAGAAGCAUCAUUUACUUAUCUAAGCUCUCAGUUAAAUUCAAGGUCUAGUAAUGGUAUCAGGAAUCUCAGAACAUCAGAGUGAGACUGCUUUCAUGCAUCCACCAGUAAGCUUUCUACCUUAAGGAAAGUCUAGCUGACAAAAAUGCUAUUAAUUUCUUUUAAACCACUGUCUGAUUCAGAAAUAUUGUCACCCUCAACACACAUCCAGCCCCUUGCCAGGUUCUGCUGACAAGUUCUGCACUUACCAGCAUCCAGCAGCUUCCUCAUGCGCAGGUAGCUGAUGGUCAGCCUCAUUAUGGAGGCCUUGUCCAGGUGGGCGCUGACAGUGUGGGGCAGGGGCAGUUCAUGAGCCAGUUCAUAGAACACUUCUGAUUCCUUGCUUCUUCGGCAUCUGGCUGCAUCUCUCGACUUCUCUUUCCUGCGUUCAGAACUAAUCCUGUAUUUAAAAAGUUUAGGAUUAAUAUAAAAGCUACAAAAUUACCUCAAGUUAAAUGCUGAAUGGACUAAGCUGGCCCAUAGCUAGUUAACCAGUUAAGUUCAAACUUCAAUUUACACAUUUAAAUGCAGUUCAGAGUAUAUAGUUCUGCCAGAAUUAGAUUCAGAACCAUGAAAGGUCAGUCCUUCAGAACAGUUCUUUCAGUCCUUCUCUUGAACACUGACUUCUGCCUCUCUAGCCUUCAAAACCUGUUUCCCCACUAAACCCUAACGUCCCCCUAAAAUGCUGCAGCUUACUUUAUAUCCACUGUGAUGCUCUAGUAAUACCAUUUACACUCUCCAAGUUUUUCCCUUUAUACCACCUCAUCCCUCACAUGCUAAAGCUGUCAUCCUUACAAAGCCUGCCAAACAGGUCAGAUAAGCAAAUUUACCAUGAGGAGUCCUGCCUUUCAAGUGUUUGGAAAAGUCCCUUUCCCACUUUUCCCUGCACAUCCUCUUCCAUUGCCUCCCUCAAACACACCAAGUAAAUGACAGCAGGCAUAGAAACAACCAUAAUCCUCAGCCAUUCAAUAAUGCCAAUAAUUGUCCCUUCUCCCUGUGCCCACAUCAGUGGAAAUCAGGUCACUGCAGUUAAAUGUGCUUUUAUUUUUAAAUGGACUAUGGAAAGUAAUACAUUAUGCUUUUGCAUUGUGUAUAUAUCUAUAUCUAUCUAUAUCUUUUGAAGGCAUCUAGUCUUCUUUUUGCAUGUAUUUGAGAUACCAAGCACAGUUGUACUGAUCAGUAGACCCUCCUUUCUCCAUUUACUUGCACUGAAAACAAAUGUAUCUCUAUAAGUACAGCUGUUGUAAUUCAAAGCAGGUGCCUUUGAACGUCAUCAUGAAGAGAUCAAAUGUUACUAAUGGAAGAUGGCAGAAAACAGACCUUUGUUACAUUGUAUUAUAUUUGCUACUGCAGAUUGUGAAUGACACUUCGCUAAUUGCAGUAGACCACUCAAAUUAUCCUUGCUAUGUCUGUGGAUCUGUGCAAAUAUAAUACAACUUUUUAAUUAGCACAUCAUCUUAUGAGAGGUACCGAGAGUGACCAAAGAAAGAGACUCACAUGCUGAUAUUACCAGGGAAAUAAGGAACCAGAUUCAAUGGAAGCAGUUAAAUAUAAACAAAUGGAGACCUUCAGAUAACUAACGGAUGAUUAGCUUAGUAAAAAAUCCCUGACGUGCACUAAGUCCAUCAGUUUCUAUGACCGCAGUUUGUGUUCCUCAGAAGUGCAGCAUGAAGUAACUGGUGAUCUCUCUUCUCUUGCAGAUCUCUCUGCAUUCAGUCACAGCCUGAAGACUAAGAAAUGGAUAUCUUGGCCUAAGAAUCCCAAGGCCCUGGACAUAUAGGUAUAUCCUGAAAGUCACUACAAGAAGCUUGAGCUUUAAUGGUACUGAAAGAAUAAUUCAGCUAUUUAAAACAGAAUGGAUUCAACAUUCCUUACUGAAGUCGGACCUCCAGUAUCUUUUAUCUCAGUGGAAAACUAAGGGUGGAGGUGAAAAACCAUUCACAAUUCUGGCCUUUUUCUAUGACCACAGGUUUUGCCUCUGACAAAGGUAAUACAGGUCACAGCCCUUAAACAGUUUCACCUUUAUACCUCCCGUUUUCCUUUGUUAGCUACUCAAGAUCCCUUCACUUGCAAACGGUUCGUUCCACUACAGAAUUAUUCGAAGUAAUUGGUUCCCAUUGGCAUGGAUGCCAGAGCUUUACUAUGGCUUCCCUUUCAACUGCAGACAGCUCUUUUAACCUAAAGCUGUGCUUUAGCAAUAAUGCUGUGUAUUUCAAGUCUGAGCAUUUGUCAGGCUCACAAGUAAAAAGGAAACGUAAUGAAGGGCAAUGCAGGAGAUGGAAAUAGUCCUUUACCGUGCAUUUGUUUUCUGUCUGAAAGCUCCAUGUUCUUGAAAACAUUUCAGCUGGAUUCUUGAUGUUUGGUUUCAGGACACUCAGCAUAGAUUUCAAUAGAGAAGUCAGAACUCUCCAUGGCCCUUAAAUGUCUGAUUACUAGCUUGAAUAUUGCCCAAAUCAAGCUCACAGUGCUGCUCUUAAAAAUGAAACCCACAGCAAGUGAAUCAAGCACGGCUUAUGGAAGCCCAGCAUUACAAUGGGCAAAACUUAAGGAAAGCCCAAAUGUUCAUAACAGUGAUGUCCCAGCAGCAGACCCAGGUCUCCCUCUUACUACAUAUUUCCUUACGAGAAAGGCUACCACUAUAGAUAGACAUUUAAACUGUACAGCAGAACGCUUUACUAUUUUUAGCUGUUGUUGAAAACUAAGCUGUAACUAAUCUGGGUAAAACCCAGCAAUUUAAAUGGGAAGAUUAACCUCCAGCUUGAAAGAGCAUUUCUUUAAUGGAUCAAAUUAAUGGGGAAAAGGUCUUUCAGAAAUGAAGUUUAAUUACCAAGUGAAGUCAGAGUUGCCUCAACAUGGGAUGUCACCAAAUACGAGAAAGCAAGAAACAAAAAACCCUUGUGCUGUUGCAAAUCUAAGCUCUGUUACUUCCAGUUGCACAAAGUCAAUGAAAAAGCACACUGUGUAGCUGCCAGAAAGUGUCACUAUAGUCUAUAAUUAAGAGUUCUCAUUAAUCAACACCAACAUCAAAAACUUAAGAUGACUAUCACAACCUUUGGCCUGUUGCACCUAAAGCUUCAGAAGAUCAUCACAGUUGAAGAGUGGGAUCAUACAUGCAAUGAAAAUAGCAGGAAUGCCCAUGGAAGGCAGGAAAUUGCCUGCAUUUUCAGGUAUGAUGUUUCCUGCCCUAUUUCACUGCCAGACAUUCAUUUCCAUUUUGUGUUUCUAGCCAUGGGAUACAGAAGCAGAAAGCAAUCUAAUGCAAGAUAUACACAGAAAACAGCGCCUCACUGACAAUUCUAGAACCAAUUCUUUGCACAUCUAUGUAAAAGAUGUUUGCAUGUAAUAGCUGAACAAACAACUGAGUUCCAGAAGUCACCAGAGCUGGACAUGCAAAGCAAAACCAUAUUUCACCACCAGGUUUCACUGCAGCUGAAGGACAUUACUCAGGUUUCCACUCACUGCUCCCAGAUGACCAUCUUUCUUAUAUAUUCUUAUAUGUCACUAUAUAUUGAUGAAUUGCUCACCAAAUCAUCUCAAAGACCCCACAAUUCACAGCCACAUUUCUCCUUACAUAAGACCAGUAUCCAAGACCUAGAAGAACCCUGGAAAACACCACUAGUAAUAACCAAUACACUUAAAUAAAAAAAUAUUAAUAAGACUAAAAAUUGGUCAGUGGAUGGGUCUUGAAACAUGUGCCGCAUGAACAUUAUUAUUAUUAUAUUAUUAUUAUAUUAUCAUUACCUUAUGUUAAAUGUUACCUUGUAUACACAGUAUUACACAGGUUUCUUUUCCCUUUUUUUCCUGUAGGUUGCUUUACUGCUGUUAUUUUCCAUCCUUUCUAGCUGCACAUUUAUACAUACUAACUUACUGAUUCUCUACUCAGAUUUUUACUCUGUAGGUAUUCUCAAUCCCCAUGUAGAAUAGUUAUUGUGCACAUGUUAAUUCAUCAAGUCUCUGUUAAUUCAUCAAGUCUCAUCUUUCCUGAUUCAGGUCCUGGCAGGUCACUCCUCACAGCUGCCCACACCCCACCAUGACCAGCUCUAUUCAUGGGGCUCAGCCGCACCAACAGCUCUCACCUGCCCCUGAUACAAGCUGCUGACUGGAAAGGCACAGGCUGCCAAAAACCAUAUUACAGCCGUGCUAAACUCAGCUGCACUGAGCAUGCAGUUAUUUGUUUUUCUUCACUGUCUGCUGGUUUGAUUUUGCUCAGGGCUGCUAUUCACAGUGCUUACUGAAUCCUUUUGCCAUGGGAAGAAGUCCCAGAGAACCCUACCAGAGAAAUUUAAAGCAGCAUCAUUCUACUUCCUGAAAGAGGCCUUCCUAGGAAAAACAAUUCAAAAUGCAAGCAAAGCAGACCACUCAAAUCCAGUUAGUUAAACAUAUGGGAAGUUACUGAUGUACUGACUAAACCAAAACACAACACACAAACAACACCUGCUCAUCUCCCACCCAACACACACAGGCAACGUACCCGCUUUUCCCCCAUCUCCCCUCAGAACUCCCUGUCGCUCACCCACACGAGGCCAAGUCUGAAUUUUCAGUUGCAAACACUGAGGGACGAGCUUUCCAGGAACUAUAUUUGCAUGCAGCUUUCCCAGAAUGUUUUUUCCACUUGGUUUGGAAGGGCUGCUCCUUCCUUCUCCACAACUCCAACCAUCUCUCGGCUCACGAUGAGCUCUGUGGUACAGCUUCAGCUCUUCUUGCUUUUACAUAACUUGCUUUUUACAAGCUCAAUACUUUUGCCACUAUGGCCCAUUUUAUUUACCCAUUAACUUUGUAAUCCACACAGGGUUCUUGUGAGAGCAAUCCGACACCUUAAUCUGGUGUGUAGUCACAAGCAUGUGACCUUCUAGAUAAAAGCCUCACUUAUUAUGAAUUAAUUCACUUAAAUCACAGUAAUCUAACAAGGGAAAUAUCUAUUAUUUAAGCACUAAGAUUUUUAAAAAGAUUUAACUGCAAACUCUAGUGUAACAUUAAAGCUCAGAGUCAGCGCUUCUAUAUGCAAACCAUUGGUUAAAUUUCAUUCCUUUGUACAUUUCCUUCUGACAAAACAAUGUGUUUUCUUGCCAUUCAGGUGGUUACAGGCAUUGACCAUAAUUUGAACACCGUCAAAAAACCCUGACUGAAAAGCACCCCAACAGACCCAGGCACUUGGAGCUGAAUGAGCUACAGCAGCACCAGCAUUCUGAAUGAGCACUGCCUUCAAAAUCUACUGCUGUUUGCAAAGUGAGGACUGGCUUUCAUGGACAAGUCCACAGAGCUACACGAUGAACUACACACUAAGAGGUCUCACUCUCAAGACCACAAAUAAUAGAACCACAGAAUUGUUUGUAUUGGAAGGGAGCCUUAAAAGUAAUCUAUCCCAACUCCCCUGCAAUGAGCAUGGACCCCUACAGCUCAUUCUACAAACAUGCAAACAGUGGUGCAUGAACUCAGCAAGCAGAGCCCAGCACUCCUGAACCCAGCACGCACAACAUUGUGCUUCCAAGAUUAUCCAUCACCUGAGCUUGGCCUCAAAGUGACCUGAAAACCUUCCUACCUCCCUGCUUAGAAAGUGCAAGAAGGUAAAAGCUUCCAAAAUUAGUAUUUCUAAUUAAGAGCAUGGUGAAGUGAUUCUGCUGUGUCUUACUACACUGAGUAAUACACUGAUAUUUUCACUCGGCACAGUAGUUUACUGUAUAAAAAUAACCAUAUGGCACAAAACGGCUGUUUGUGAGAAAAUUAUGAUUCUUUUUCAACUAAGUCAGUUGGCUUUUUUUGGAAGGCGGCCUUUUUUUCUUUAAUAAGUGCUGCGUUGCAUCCUGCAGGGUGAAAGAUGCAUAGCAGUUACACUGUGCUUAUGAUUAAAGAACAAACACGACUGUUAGAAGGUGGCUGGACACGGCCCUGACAGAACUGCCCUCCGAGGGCUCUCCUCCCUUCUGCACUCUCAUUGUUAAUGUCUUUGGCCUCCACAAAGCAGCAAACACAUCCCUGAGAAGGGUUCAUCACUUGAGCAUGCUCCCAGUUACCAAUACUUCAGCUAUGAACUGCUCUGUCUUCAGACAGGUGUAGACUUGUGAUAAAAUACCUAAUUCCAGUCUAAAUCAUGGGUUUAACAAAUAUAUUCUAUGGCACUGUGUUUAAGCUUUUCAGACCAGAGGCCAAAGGACUUUCAUAAUUGCUGUAACACAAGUUCUUACCCUUCUCUUCAGUUUACAUUCUUCAUCUGCUUUCACUUAACAGGAUAUUUCAUUAUCAAAGGGUUUCAAAAGAAAUUACAACAUUUUAUUUUUCCUACAUGAAUAAAGAACCCGCAGUCAAGAAAAAUGCUUCCAUCAAUAGCAAGGAUAAAAACCCUAUGGUGAAUCAGCUGCACAGCCAACAGCUUGCAAGAGAAAAUCCCCUUCUGAAGAACCAAGCACUGAACAUGCUCAUCAGCAGCUAAAUCACUUCCAUUUACAGCGUCCUGUUUGCACAGCUUUUAUAUUCGACAUGGAUUGCUUCAAGUCUUCAGCUCCUUGCAGUAUAUUCCCACCUCUUAAGCACGGGGAAAAUGUGAGGAAGCCAACCUCUAACUCCCCUCCAGCGUAACAGUGCAGUUAUUGUUCCCAGUUGUGAGCAGCACGGAAUCAUCUCACAAACAAGAUUCUUGGCCUCGGCGUUCUCUUCCUUUCUGAAACGUAAGGAUUGUCGUAACACCGUCACUCUGCUUUGGGUUUAGUGAUGCAUUCUGGUAAACAAGACGGGUCAUCUUUUUCAGGCAGCACUUCCAGGAUUCUUACAAACUGAAUUGAAAGGGAUACUUUGUAAAUCACAGGGUUGUUGAGUAAAACCUUUCACUGUUGUAAAUAUAAGAGCACAGAUUCCUUCA